rnacentral:misc_RNA from 1 species
GAAAUUUUCAGCAAAAAAAUAAAUUAUUUUUAUUUGGUUGCAACAAUGAAAAUCAACUAGAAAUCAUUUUACAGUGUUUAGAGCGCAAAGAUUAUUUUCUUUUUGAACAUUUAAGAACCCUAUAAAUUUCUAACAUAGCUGAUUACAAAGGGUUGUCGCACAUUGCUAGGACUACCACCAGUGAUUGUUGGUAUAUCUAUGGUAUCUGCCUAUGUGGUCCUCUUGUGAAUUCCCCUACUUUUGAGUUUGUAGUAGUUAAAUUUGAAAAUGACUUGCUUUUCCCUUCAACUAGUAAAAUAUUUUCCAUUAAUUUAUUCAUAUUAUCUGUGCUAAACAAAUUUAAACUUUGGUGAUUUUGCGACCACUUAAAGAGGGGGUUGGCAACGGAAUUAACUAAAUGAAGAUCACCACCACCAGUUUUGAUCUUGCAUACAAUAACUCAAUCAAACCAUUGAAGCUAAAAUUUGUCAGAACAUAAUAGCUAGCACAUACCUUGGAACCAG